rnacentral:rRNA from 1 species
AGCAGCCGCGGUAAUUCCAGCUCCAAUAGCGUAUAUUAAAGUUGUUGCAGUUAAAAAGCUCGUAGUUGAAUUUCGGGACCAUCAUGUCGGUCGUGCCUCGGUACGUACUGGCAUUGUUGGUUUCUACCUUCUGACGAACCAUGAUGUCAUUUAUUUGGUGUCGUGGGAAAUCAGGACUGUUACUUUGAAAAAUUAGAGUGUUUAAAGCAGGCUCACGCUUGAAUACAUUAGCAUGGAAUAAUGAAAUAGGACGUUUGAUUCUAUUUUGUUGGUUUCUAGGAUCGACGUAAUGAUUAAUAGGGAUAGUUGGGGGCAUUAGUAUUCAAUUGUCAGAGGUGAAAUUCUUGGAUUUAUUGAAGACUAACUACUGCGAAAGCAUUUGCCAAGGAUGUUUUCAUUAAUCAAGGACGAAAGUUAGGGGAUCGAAGACGAUCAGAUACCGUCGUAGUCUUAACCAUAAACUAAUGCCGACUAGGGAUCGGAUGAUGUUAAUUUUAAUGUAC